UACGUAGGGUGCAAGCGUUGUCCGGAAUUAUUGGGCGUAAAGAGCUCGUAGGCGGUCUGUUGCGUCGGCUGUGAAAACCCGGGGCUCAACUCCGGGCCUGCAGCCGAUACGGGCAGACUAGAGUUCGGCAGGGGAGACUGGAAUUCCUGGUGUAGCGGUGAAAUGCGCAGAUAUCAGGAGGAACACCGGUGGCGAAGGCAGGUCUCUGGGCUGACACUGACGCUCAUGCACGAAAGCGUGGGGAGCAAACAGG
rnacentral:rRNA from 1 species